rnacentral:rRNA from 1 species
GAUUCCAUGCCGAACUCAGAAGUGAAACGAAUUAGCGCCGAUGGUAGUGUGGGGUCUCCCCAUGUGAGAGUAGGACAUCGCCAGGC